UGGGUUUGAACUGUACAGGCAAGUCUCAGAGAUGAGAGCCCCUCUUCGGAGGACUGUACAGAGGUGCUGCAUGGCUGUCGUCAGCUCGUGUCGUGAGAUGUUGGGUUAAGUCCCGCAACGAGCGCAACCCUUAUUCACAGUUACUAACGGGUAGAGCCGAGAACUCUGUGGAGACUGCCGGUGAUAAACCGGAGGAAGGUGGGGAUGACGUCAAGUCCUCAUGGCCUUUAUGUCCG
rnacentral:rRNA from 1 species